rnacentral:rRNA from 1 species
GAUGAACGCUGGCGGCGUGCCUAACACAUGCAAGUCGAACGACCCCUUCGGGGUAGUGGCAGACGAGUGAGUAACGCGUGGGAAUCUACCCCAGACACAGGAAUACCUGGCCGAAAGGUUAGUUAAUACCUGAUAUUCUCGCAAGAGAAAAGCUCCGGCGGUUUGGGAUGAGCCUGCGUCCUAUCAGCUUGUUGGUGAGGUAAUGGCUCACCAAGGCUAUGACGGGUAGCUGGACCGAGAGGUUGACCAGCCACGAUGGGACUGAGACACGGCCCAUACACCUACGGGUGGCAGCAGUGAGGAAUCGUGCGCAAUGGACGAAAGUCUGACGCCGCGACGCCGCGUGAAGGAAGAAGCUUCUCGGAGUGUAAACUUCUUUUCCAUAGGACGAUUAUGACGGUACUAUGGGAAUAAGCCACGGCUAACUUCGUGCCAGCAGCCGCGGUAAAACGUACGUACGGUCGUCGUCGUAGACGGGCCGGUCGGUCGGAACGGAACGGGCCGACUAAGU